CAGUCGCCGCUGUAAUACGUAGGGCGCAAGCGUUGUCCGGAAUUAUUGGGCGUAAAGAGCUCGUAGGCGGUCUGUCGCGUCUGGUGUGAAAUCCCGAGGCUCAACCUCGGGCUUGCAUCGGGUACGGGCAGACUAGAGUGCGGUAGGGGAGACUGGAAUUCCUGGUGUAGCGGUGGAAUGCGCAGAUAUCAGGAGGAACACCGAUGGCGAAGGCAGGUCUCUGGGCCGCAACUGACGCUGAGGAGCGAAAGCAUGGGGAGCGAACAGGAUUAGAUACCCGGGUAGUCCCUGUCUCUUAUAA
rnacentral:rRNA from 1 species